UUCUGGAACUGUAGUUCAUGGUAGACGCUUCCAUCAUGCCCACGUACAGAUGCCAGGCAUCAAAACGGCAGCUCAGAGCAAUCAGGACCGAAAAGAAAGGAAAGAAUACCCACCUCAUGUCCACAAAGCCGAAAACAACCCUGUAAUGUUAAGUCAUGGCCAAGGCGGAGACCAUGUAAUGAAGAAAACUGAAGAUUCAGAAUCGUAUGUAGAGCCUGAAGUUAAGAGGAAAGUACAGCAGAAACGGCACUGUAGCACUUACCAGCUUUCUCCUCUGUCCCCUGCCUCAAAGAAGUGUCUGACCCAUUUCGAGGUUUCUGAACAGCGUGAAUGUUGCCCAAAAUGCGGAAAAGAAAAAGAAAAUCAAACCAGAUGCCAAAGUUGUGGUAUUGUUUUUCAUAAUGAUUUGCAAAGAAAUUGCCGACAAGCAGUAACGUUGAAUGAAUCUACUGGACCAUUGCUAAGAACAUCAAUUCAUCAGAACUCUGGAGGACAGAAAUCACAAAACACAGGAUUAACAGCUAAGAAGUUUUAUGGGAACAGUGUGGAUAAGAUUCCAAUUGAUAUUUUGCUCACCUGUGAUGGUAGCAGACAUAAUUACAUACAGACAAAUGGGAAAGUCAUUUUACCUGGAGGAAAAAUACCUAAAAUCACAAACCCGAAAGAACGAAAAACAAGCGUGUCAGAUUUAAACGAUCCAAUCAUUUUGUCCAGUGAUGACGAUGACGACGACGACAGGACUAAGAGAAGAGAGAGCACGUCCCCGCAGCCUGCCGACUCAGCAUGCUCCUCUCCAGCACCGUCUACUGGGAAAGUUGAAGCCGCACUGAAUGCAAAUACGUGCAGAGCAGAGCAGGAACCUAGAAGCAGUCCCGCAGAGUCUGAGUUAAAUACCGUUGUCAUACCAAGAAAAGCAAGAAUGAAGGACCAGGUACUUUCAGAUUAAGGUCUUUCCUUUGGGGUAUUACCUCUAUUUUGGAAAAGUAAUUUGUUAGUGACAGCAGGGGAAGAUGGCUUAUUCAUUAACGUAUGCUCAGAUACUGUAGAAGACCAUUAAACUAUAUGC
rnacentral:lncRNA from 1 species